rnacentral:lncRNA from 1 species
CACACUGCUCCUUAUAGUUAUUCAGUGACCCAGGCUAAGCAAGACACUGCCCCCGCACCAUCUUUAGUGUGUGGUACCCUCUGUUCCAGGUGGAGAAAGGUCUGGUGGGUGGGUCACAUCGCUUUGCCAUGGUCCAGUGGCUGGGCCUGAGGAACAUGGCCAGGUCUACUUGCAGAGAAGGCUGAGAAGCAUGGAAUAGCCACCUGCCAAAAAGAAGGAUGGGGGAUGGAUUUUGGAGCACCCUCUCUCAAAGAGCACCCCCACACUAUGCAGACUCUGUGGGAAGAUGACCAAUCCACCUCCAACUCUGUGAAGACCAAAUGCAGUAAAAGAUAUUUAGGCAUUUCAAAAAACCAGAAAUGGAAAGAUGGUUUUGCUCUAAGAUCUGUUGCAGCAUGUUCAACCUGAGCUCGUCCUUGACUUACCAUCCUAAGACCAUUGGCUGUGCCAUUAUCUGUCCUUUCUGGGCUUGAGUUCAGAACUGAGAACUUGAACCAAUGAUCAACCUCCCCUCCUGGCCUUGUGUUCCUCUCCUGGAGCCCCUGGCCAUUGGGUCUGAGCACCAAGAGCUCCCUGUGGAUCCACAUGGCACGAGGCAGCGAAUGUCUGUGGAGCCAUGUGCCAGGCACACUUCUACUCACUAGGGUCAGAGCUGGGAGCACGGGACCCCCACCUAUGUGGAGCAUCUGGGAUAAUCUAGUGUAAUAAUUGCAGGGGGCACAUCAACAAUGGAGAUCCGCACGCUGAUAGCAAUCACCGAGCCUCUCCGAGCCUGUGUCCUCCGGGAAAUGGGCACAACAGCAGGGCCAGCUCGCAGGCUCCAGGGGGCAAGACCAAGACACCAUGUGCUUCAGCUCCUGUCCUGUUUCCUGUCCCAUAAGUUAACGUGCUUAAGCAGCCUGCCUUGCAGAAGUUUCCCUCCUCAUCCCUGGCUCUAG